AUGGGGGGAACCCUGAUCCAGCCAUGCCGCGUGUGUGAAGAAGGCCUUUUGGUUGUAAAGCACUUUAAGCGAGGAGGAGGCUACUCUAGUUAAUACCUAGAGAUAGUGGACGUUACUCGCAGAAUAAGCACCGGCUAACUCUGUGCCAGCAGCCGCGGUAAUACAGAGGGUGCAAGCGUUAAUCGGAUUUACUGGGCGUAAAGCGCGCGUAGGUGGCCAAUUAAGUCAAAUGUGAAAUCCCCGAGCUUAACUUGGGAAUUGCAUUCGAUACUGGUUGGCUAGAGUAUGGGAGAGGAUGGUAGAAUUCCAGGUGUAGCGGUGAAAUGCGUAGAGAUCUGGAGGAAUACCGAUGGCGAAGGCAGCCAUCUGGCCUAAUACUGACACUGAGGUGCGAAAGCAUGGGGAGCAAACAGGAUUAGAUACCCUGGUAGUCCAUGCCGUAAACGAUGUCUACUAGCCGUUGGGGCCUUUGAGGCUUUAGUGGCGCAGCUAACGCGAUAAGUAGACCGCCUGGGGAGUACGGUCGCAAGACUAGAACUCAAAUGA
rnacentral:rRNA from 1 species